AUUAUUAAUUCAAUAUAAAUAAUUGUUUCUGUAGAAUUUUGUAUGUGGAAUACUAUGCCCCAUGCUGUCCUACAAAAUCCAAUCAUUUGACAUGGAACACAAACUCAUAUGGCUUGUUUUUCCUGGAAUUUGUACCUACUCGUGACAUAUACUCAAUGGAUUUUCUGUUGAAGGGGUAUAUCACAUAACCGGUUUCAGAAAAAAAACCUUCUCACCCUUUGCAGGUAAUACAUUUAAAGAGGACAGAGGACUGUAAAGAUGAAAGAGCAAGAUACGAUAAAAAUUCACACUAACUACUAAUAACAUUUGUGCUAUGUUGAACUAAGAUGUCUCAAUCCCAAUGGAAUGAUAUGUAGGAUUGAGAGAUUCUGAUUUUUGGACUGAUCUAGAUACCACACACGAAUCGCUUACCCGAGUCAGGUCAAGCCCGUAUGAAUAAAUGGUAAAUUUAUCAUGGCAGAUUCAACGUUGCAUGAUGAAUGUGCGCUUUUGAGGUAUAAUUUGACAUCAGUCCGCUUGUAUUCUGGGCGGUUUUUGUUUACUUUAAAAUCUAAAUGAUCAACGGUUUCAUGCACAUAAUUUACGGAUGUAAUGCGUGGUCCCGUUGACUAAGUACUUAUUGUGUGGUGUACCGUCGUGGGUUAUUUGUUUUUAAGCAUAAAAUAAACUUUUAUU